rnacentral:rRNA from 1 species
AUUGAACGCUGGCGGCAUGCCUUACACAUGCAAGUCGAACGGCAGCACGGGGCAACCUGGUGGCGAGUGGCGAACGGGUGAGUAAUGCAUCGGAACGUACCUUUCAGUGGGGGAUAACGUAGCGAAAGUUACGCUAAUACCGCAUAUUCUGUGAGCAGGAAAGCAGGGGAUCGCAAGACCUUGCGCUGAUUGAGCGGCCGAUGUCAGAUUAGCUAGUUGGUGAGGUAAAGGCUCACCAAGGCGACGAUCUGUAGCGGGUCUGAGAGGAUGAUCCGCCACAGUGGAACUGAGAGCCGGUCCAGACUCCUACGGUAGGCAGCAGGGGGGAAUUUUGGAAAAUGGGGGCAACCCUGAUCCAGCCAUGCCGCGUGAGUGAAGAAGGCCUUCGGGUUGUAAAGCUCUUUCGGCCGGGAAGAAAUCGCACGGGCUAAUACCCUGUGUGGAUGACGGUACCGGAAUAAGAAGCACCGGCUAACUACGUGCCAGCCGCCGCGGUAAUAC